UACGUAGGGUGCAAGCGUUGUCCGGAAUUAUUGGGCGUAAAGAGCUCGUAGGCGGUCCGUCACGUCGGCUGUGAAAACUCGGGGCUCAACCCCGAGCCUGCAGUCGAUACGGGCGGACUAGAGUCCGGCAGGGGAGACUGGAAUUCCUGGUGUAGCGGUGAAAUGCGCAGAUAUCAGGAGGAACACCGGUGGCGAAGGCGGGUCUCUGGGCCGGAACUGGACGCUGAGGAGCGAAAGCGUGGGGAGCGAACAGG
rnacentral:rRNA from 1 species